rnacentral:rRNA from 1 species
UUUGGAUAACUGUGGUAAUCCUAGAGCUAAUACAUGCACUCAAGUCCCGACCAGUUUUACUGGGAAGGACGCUUUUAUUAGAUCAAGACCAAUCGCUCGGCUCGUCCGAGCGUUGCCUUGGUGACUCUAGGUAACACAUCAGAUCGCACGGUCCUAGCACCGGCGACUUAUCCUUCAAAUGCCUGACUUAUCAACUGUCGAUGGUAGACUCUAUGUCUACCAUGGUUGUAACGGGUAACGGGGAAUCAGGGUUCGAUUCCGGAGAGGGAGCCUGAGAAACGGCUACCACAUCCAAGGAAGGCAGCAGGCACGCAAAUUACCCACUCCCGGCACGGGGAGGUAGUGACAAAAAAUAACGAUACGGGACUCUUAUGAGGCCCCGUAAUCGGAAUGAGUACACUUUAAAUCCUUUAACAAGGAUCCAUUGAAGGGCAAGUCUGGUGCCAGCAGCCGCGGUAAUUCCAGCUUCAAUAGCGUAUAUUAAAGUUGUUGCGGUUAAAAAGCUCGUAGUUGGUUCUGCGUGCCACGCUGUCGGUUCGCCGCCUGCCGGUGUAACUGGCAUGCCGCGGCAUGUCCUGUCGGUGGCGUUCGGGAGCCUCGUCUAGGCGCCGGCCCUUGCCCCAAAGCUUGGUGUCGGAGGCCGGGGGUAUACUCGUUCGCCUACUCUAUCCUACCUAGGUGCUCUUCACCGAGUGUCGAGGUAGGCCGACACGUUUACUUUGAACAAAUUAGAGUGCUCAAAGCAGGCUGAAAUCUCUGCCUGAAUAGUGGUGCAUGGAAUAAUAAAACAGGACCUUGGUUCUAUUUUGUUGGUUCUUAGGAACACAAGGUAAUGAUCAAUACGGACAGGCGGGGGCAUUCGUAUUGCGUCCUCCGAUGAGGCGGGGCCGGGAAACCAAAGCUUUUGGGUCCGGGGGAAGUAUGGUUGCAAAGCUGAAACUUAAAGGAAUUGACGGAAGGGCACCACCAGGAGUGGAGCCUGCGGCUUAAUUUGACUCAACACGGGAAACCUCACCAGGCCAGGACAUUGGAAGGAUUGACAGAUUGAUAGCUCUUUCUUGAUUCAGUGGGUAGUGGUGCAUGGCCGUUCUUAGUUGGUGGAUCGAUUUGUCUGGUUAAUUCCGAUAACGAACGAGACUCUAGCCUAUUAACUAGGCGUUUUCCGGUGUCCCCGCCACCGGCGACAAUCAUUCUUCUUAAGGGGACAGGCGGCUUUUAGCCGCACGAGAUUGAGCAAUAACAGGUCUGUGAUGCCCUUAGAUGUCCUGGGCCGCACGCGCGCUACACUGAAGGAAUCAGCGUGUGCCUCCCUGGCCGAAAGGCCCGGGUAAUCCGCUGAACCUCCUGCGUGCUAGGAAUUGGGGCUUGCAAUUGUUCCCCAUGAACGAGGAAUUCCCAGUAAGCGCGAGUCAUAAGCUCGCGUUGAUUACGUCCCUGCCCUUUGUACACACCGCCCGUCGCUACUACCGAUUGAAUGAUUUAGUGAGGUCUUCGGACUGGCGGUAAUCCCUAUCGACUUGUCGGUAUCGAUGAACGCUGGGAAGAUGACCAAACUUGAUCAUUUAGAGGAAGUAAAAGUCGUAACAAGGUUUCC